AUUGAACGCUGGCGGCAUGCCUUACACAUGCAAGUCGAACGGCAGCAUGGAGGAGCUUGCUCCUCUGAUGGCGAGUGGCGAACGGGUGAGUAAAGCAUCGGAACGUACCGUGUAGUGGGGGAUAACGUAGCGAAAGUUACGCUAAUACCGCAUACGCACUGAGGUGGAAAGCAGGGGAUCGCAAGACCUUGCGCUAUACGAGCGGCCGAUGGCAGAUUAGUUAGUUGGUAGGGUAAAGGCCUACCAAGGCGACGAUCUGUAGCGGGUCUGAGGGGAUGAUCAGCGACACUGGGACUGAGACACGGCCCAGAGUCCUACGAGAGGCAGCAGUGGGGAAUUUUGGACAAUGGGGGAAACCCUGAUCCAGCCAUGCCGCGUGAGUGAAGAAGGCCUUCGGGUUGUAAAGCUCUUUCGGCUGGGAAGAAAUCGCACAGGCUAAUACUCUGUGUGGAUGACGGUACCAGCAUAAGGAGCACCGGCUAACUACGUGCCAGCCGCCGCGGUAAAAC
rnacentral:rRNA from 1 species